rnacentral:rRNA from 1 species
CCGAGUCUUAAUUGGGCGUUAAGUUGCAGGGUAUAGACCCGAAACCCGGUGAUCUAGCCAUGGGCAGGUUGAAGGUUGGGUAACACUAACUGGAGGACCGAACCGACUAAUGUUGAAAAAUUAGCGGAUGACCUGUGGCUGGGGGUGAAAGGCCAAUCAAACCGGGAGAUAGCUGGUUCUCCCCGAAAGCUAUUUAGGUAGCGCCUCGUGAAUUCAUCUCCGGGGGUAGAGCACUGUUUCGGCUAGGGGGCCAUCCCGGCUUACCAACCCGAUGCAAACUGCGAAUACCGGAGAAUGUUAUCACGGGAGACACACGGCGGGUGCUAACGUCCGUCGUGAAGAGGGAAACAACCCAGACCGCCAGCUAAGGUCCCAAAGUCAUGGUUAAGUGGGAAACGAUGUGGGAAGGCCCAGACAGCCAGGAUGUUGGCUUAGAAGCAGCCAUCAUUUAAAGAAAGCGUAAUAGCUCACUGGUCGAGUCGGCCUGCGCGGAAGAUGUAACGGGGCUAAACCAUGCACCGAAGCUGCGGCAGCGACGCUGAUGCGUUGUUGGGUAGGGGAGCGUUCUGUAAGCCUGCGAAGGUGGCCUGUGAGGGUUGCUGGAGGUAUCAGAAGUGCGAAUGCUGACAUAAGUAACGAUAAAGCGGGUGAAAAGCCCGCUCGCCGGAAGACCAAGGGUUCCUGUCCAACGUUAAUCGGGGCAGGGUGAGUCGACCCCUAAGGCGAGGCCGAAAGGCGUAGUCGAUGGGAAACGGGUUAAUAUUCCCGUACUUGGUGUUACUGCGAAGGGGGGACGGAGAAGGCUAUGUUGGCCGGGCGACGGUUGUCCCGGUUUAAGCGUGUAGGUGUGUGUUCCAGGUAAAUCCGGUU